CCCUUAGAUGUUCUGGGCCGCACGCGUGCUACACUGAGUGGAUCAGCGGGUCAGGUUGCGCGAAAGCGUUUCCUAAUCUUUAAAUCCGCUCGUGAUGGGGAUUGACGGUUGCAAUUUUCUGUCAUGAACGAGGAAUGCCUAGUAGGCGCAAGUCAUCAGCUUGCGUCGAUUACGUCCCUGCCCUUUGUACACACCGCCCGUCGCUCCUACCGAUUGGGUGUGCUGGUGAAAUGUUCGGAUCGGCCGUUUGUCGCGGUUUCCGCGGCUCGUGGCUGAGAAGUUCAUUAAACCCUCCCACCUAGAGGAAGGAGAAGUCGUAACA
rnacentral:rRNA from 1 species